rnacentral:lncRNA from 1 species
CAAGAGGCGAGGCGGCGUGUGCGCAUACGUGUUAUUUAUUGCCUCCUACCGGGUAUGUUCAAAAGUGCUGAACACACUUUUUGGCGUGGACCCGAACUGACUCAUCCUUUAGAGAGCAGCUCGUCACGAGAUGAUGCUUUGGGGGCUCUUCCAAUUCCCGCAGAACAUUCGGGUCGGAGUCCAGCGGUGGAUCCUCGGGAUGGCAGGAGCGAUGGGGUGCGUGGUGGAUGUUGGCAUCUGCUCAUCACCUCCAUGAUGGGUACCAGCAGCCCAGGGAGUUUUGGUCCAAACCAGGUUGAUAAUAGAUGCUUGAAAGUAGCCAGCGCUGGAGAGUGGGACCCUGAGUGUCAUAGCUGCCCAAAAACCUGCUUUGGAAAGUCUUGGAAAACAUAGGGCAGCAGAAAUGUCCCUGCAGGGAUGUCCACAGCCUCCAGAGUGAGGUCCAAGGCCAGAGCUGUGUUUUCUACCACCUUCUGAAACUCUCUGGAUGGUGUCUUGGAUGUGAAAUGAGGGGGAGGCAGCGAGCUCUGCCCCUGGAAAGGGGACAGAAAGGCUCAGCUGUUAUGAGACACCUGAGAAGCCAAACCCACAGCACAUCCCACCUUUUGCUCCUGCUCUCCUUUGCUCCAAAGCCCUGGAUGGACAUUCUCAGCCGGUCCCAUGCCGAGGGGCACCCCUGGCCCUGAGCACCCCCAGUGCCAGGGGCAAAGUGGCGGCUACGGGGAGGGGUGUCCGUGCUGCCUCUCUCUGCUCAUGAAAGCCACCGUGUUUCCAGCUGUGGGAGGAUUCAUCAUUUGUGGAGGAAAAAUAGAAAGAUGGUAUUUUGUUUUUUUUAAAAAAAUCUAUUUUCUGCUUUUAUUUGCUGCUUUGCAAAGCCUGAAUUCCUCCCCGCGAAGAGCUCAGUGAAAGACACAGCUUUCAACAGGAGCUUCCCUGAGGAUGCUGCAUCAUUCAGGGGGUCAUGGACUAUCCCGCUCUCAGCAUCUCAUGUCCCUUGUGACUGAUCCAUGUGCCCCGUCUCCCUGUCAGAUCAUCUGCUAUCCCACCCCACCUUUCUUGGGGUCUCCCAGAAGAGCUGGGGGGAUCCCCAGAUGCUGCCCAGAUUGGGUACCCCACUGAUGGAGGGUUAG